UCACGAUAUGUUCAUGAAGUAGUAGAAGUUAAACAUAACUAAGAUAUAAUGGAUGCAUCCUCUUCAGGAAUGUGUUAAUGAAUUUUGGCUUAAACAAGAUAAGAACGGCAAAUGGGGCCACACGUUAAACAAGAAAAGAACGACAAAUGGGGCCACAUUAGGUUCUUGAAGUACCAGUUGGGAGUGGCAGUCUAAUUCAAUUGCUAAAACCAUUAUAUCGAGAUAGUGUAAUCUACUUUCAAAAAACAUUCAAUUUUCCUAAGAGAUAGUUCCUUAUUUUCAGGGGGAUUUGUCUCUAUUCAACAAGGGAGGGGAAAUUCAAGCUUGUUUUUAUUCUUGCAAUUGUUCCCAUUACUGUCAAUCACAACAGUUUGAUUGGUGACUAUGGGUGAUGAACCUAAGGCAAACUUGGUGUGGAGAAUAGUGAAAAGAAAGCAGUCAACCGCAAAGAAAGGAUUGCCUUCUCACUAAGCCAGCUGGGUUCAAAACGUGACUCUCUCCCUCAACAAUGCACAGGGGGGACUUUGGCUCCAAAUAUGAUCUGGAUCAGGCUCACCAAUUUCACAGAAGGUGAACUGUGGAUAUGGCAUAUGUAGAAAAGGGCGUUAUACCAGAUCGAAUUACAAGUUACAUUAUAGAAAGCACUAGGAUCUUUCUCCUCUCUAUCAACCAACACUACAGACCAAGGUGUCUACAAUGUUUGCAGCAUAUGAAGCAUUAGUACUACCUUGUGAAGAGCAAGCUACAUGAGCUCUUUCAUCUAGAAGUAGAGAUUUUGUCUACUGGUGGAAUGGUCCCUCUCAUAGAGUAAUUGGGAAGAUAGUAUUUUGCUCAAUGGCGAAAUGAUCUUGAGAACUGAUCUUGAUUGUAAUGGAUGGUAGUGGAAUAGAUAGUGAAUUAUCAUUCAUUCAAUUUCAAUAGACCAUGUAGAUUCUUGGAAGUCCACCACCGUAAUGGGUAUUCAACAUCAUAUGCAACCCUGAUUUACACAGUCA